GCCGGGCAUAGUGGCUCAUGCCUGUAAUCCCAGCACUUUGGGAGGCUGAGGCGGGUGGAUCACCUGAGGUCAGGAGUUCAAGACCAGCCUGGCCAAUAUGGUGAAAGCCCACCUCUA
ensembl:misc_RNA Metazoa_SRP Metazoan signal recognition particle RNA